GUGGGGAAUCUUGCGCAAUGGGCGAAAGCCUGACGCAGCCAUGCCGCGUGAAUGAUGAAGGUCUUAGGAUUGUAAAAUUCUUUCACCGGGGACGAUAAUGACGGUACCCGGAGAAGAAGCUCCGGCUAACUUCGUGCCAGCAGCCGCGGUAAUACGAAGGGGGCUAGCGUUGCUCGGAAUUACUGGGCGUAAAGGGCGCGUAGGCGGACAGCUUAGUCAGAGGUGAGAGCCAAGGGCUUAACCUUUGUAUUGCCUUUGAUACUGGCUGUCUUGAGUUUGGGAGAGGUGAGUGGAACUCCGAGUGUAGAGGUGAAAUUCGUAGAUAUUCGGAAGAACACCAGUGGCGAAGGCGACUCACUGGCCCAAUACUGACGCUGAGGCGCGAAAGCGUGGGGAGCAAACAGGAUUAGAUACCCUGGUAGUCC
rnacentral:rRNA from 1 species